rnacentral:rRNA from 1 species
GGGGAAUUUUGCGCAAUGGGGGAAACCCUGACGCAGCAACGCCGCGUGAGUGAUGAAGGCCUUCGGGUCGCAAAGCUCUGUCAGAGGGGAAGAAAUGCAGGGGUGCUAAUAUCAUCUUUGCUUGACGGUACCCUCAAAGGAAGCACCGGCUAACUCCGUGCCAGCAGCCGCGGUAAUACGGAGGGUGCGAGCGUUGUUCGGAAUUAUUGGGCGUAAAGCGCGUGUAGGCGGUUUGGUAAGUCUGAUGUGAAAGCCCCGGGCUCAACCUGGGAAGUGCAUUGGAAACUGUCAGACUUGAAUACGGGAGAGGGUAGUGGAAUUCCUAGUGUAGGAGUGAAAUCCGUAGAUAUUAGGAGGAACACCGGUGGCGAAGGCGGCUACCUGGACCGAUAUUGACGCUGAGACGCGAAAGCGUGGGGAGCAAACA